AGCUUUGUGCAGUGGUAAUAUCAUAGCCAAUGAAGGUUUACUGAGGUGUGUUUAUUGCUAUUUGAAAACUUUACCCAAUACCCCGUUAAGUCUGUUUAAUGACAGACUUGGCAAUUUUUUACCAUCUCUGAGUAGA